CCAGCAGCCGCGGUAAUACGUAGGUGGCAAGCGUUGUCCGGAUUUAUUGGGCGUAAAGCGAGCGCCGGCGGUUUCUUAAGUCUGAUGUGAAAGCCUUCGGCUCAACCGAAGAAGUGCAUCGGAAACUGGGAAACUUGAGUGCAGAAGAGGACAGUGGAACUCCAUGUGUAGCGGUGAAAUGCGUAGAUAUAUGGAAGAACACCAGUGGCGAAGGCGGCUGUCUGGUCUGUAACUGACGCUGAGGCUCGAAAGCAUGGGUAGCAAACAGGAUUAGAUACCCUGGUAGUCCAUGCCGUAAACGAUGAGUGCUAGGUGUUGGAGGGUUUCCGCCCUUCAGUGCCGCAGCUAACGCAUUAAGCACUCCGCCUGGGGAGUACGACCGCAAGGUUGAAACUCAAAGGAAUUGACGGGGGCCCGCACAAGCGGUGGAGCAUGUGGUUUAAUUCGAAGCAACGCGAAGAACCUUACCAGGUCUUGACAUCCUUUGACCACUCUAGAGAUAGAGCUUUCCCUUCGGGGACAAAGUGACAGGUGGUGCAUGGUUGUCGUCAGCUCGUGUCGUGAGAUGUUGGGUUAAGUCCCGCAACGAGCGCAACCCUUAUUACUAGUUGCCAGCAUUAAGUUGGGCACUCUAGUGAGACUGCCGGUGACAAACCGGAGGAAGGUGGGGACGACGUCAAAUCAUCAUGCCCCUUAUGACCUGGGCUACACACGUGCUACAAUGGAUGGUACAACGAGUUGCGAGACCGC
rnacentral:rRNA from 2 species